UACAGAGGUGGCAAGCGUUGUUUCGGAAUUACUGGGCGUAAAGGGCGUCUAGGCGGUCCAGUAAGUCCUGCGUGAAAGCUCCCGGCUCAACUGGGAGAGCGCGGUGGGAGACUGUUGGGCUAGAGACUCGGAGAGGGGUGUGGAAUUCCCGGUGGAGUGGUGAAAGUGCGAUUGAGAUCGGGAGGAACACCAGGUGGCGAAGGCGGGCACCCUGG
rnacentral:rRNA from 1 species